GACGAACGCUGGCGGCGUGCCUAAUACAUGCAAGUAGAACGCACAGUUUAUACCGUAGCUUGCUACACCAUAGACUGUGAGUUGCGAACGGGUGAGUAACGCGUAGGUAACCUGCCUGGUAGCGGGGGAUAACUAUUGGAAACGAUAGCUAAUACCGCAUAAUAUUGAUUAUUGCAUGAUAAUUGAUUGAAAGAUGCUAUUGCAUCACUACCAGAUGGACCUGCGUUGUAUUAGCUAGUAGGUGAGGUAACGGCUCACCUAGGCGACGAUACAUAGCCGAACUGAGAGGGUGAUCGGCCACACUGGGACUGAGACACGGCCCAGACUCCUACGGGAGGCAGCAGUAGGGAAUCUUCGGCAAUGGACGAAAGUCUGACCGAGCAACGCCGCGGGAGUGAAGAAGGGUUUCGGAUCGUAAAGCUCUGUUGUAAGAGAAGAACGGGUGUGAGAGUGGAAAGUUCACACUGUGACGGUAUCUGACCAGAAAGGGACGGCUAACUACGUG
rnacentral:rRNA from 1 species